ACUCCUGACCUCAGGUGAUCCACCCGCCACAGCUUCCCAAACUUGGGAUUACAGGCAUGAGCCACCAUACCCGGCGCUCCUCCUUUCUUACAGCUACAUAGUCAUUCAGUUUAUUUAUCCAGUCCCUUACUGAUGGACAUUUAGUUUGUUUCUGAUAUUUUGCUUCGCAAACAAGAACAUCUAAUACACUUAGUGCACAUGUAUGAGUGUUUCUUGAGGAUUUAUUCCUAGAAGAGAGAUUGCUGGCUCAAAAUAUGUAUGAAUUUUUCAUUUUGAAAAAUACUGCCAAGUUGGAGUGGAGAACUUUUUUCUGUGAAGGAGCCCUCCAUCCCUAGAGCUGAACCAGUGAUGAAAGGCACUCCGGGUAGAAAGAGCAUGGACUUUCCAUUCAGAUGUAUUUGGGUUCAAAUCCCAGUUCUGCCACCUUUUUCCUGUGUGACCUUGGUUAAGUCACUUAACCUCUCUGAUUUUCUGUUUCCUUAACUGCCCAGUGGAAAUAGUAAGAGCCGCCUCACAAAGCUGUUGCAAGGAUCAAAUGGCAUCUUGUAGGUCAAUCCUCUAGCGUGGGCCUGGUACGCAGUAGGCUCUUGGCCCAUGUUAGUUUCCUUUCCCUGACUGAACCCUUUUCUGCAUCCAUCAUGGAAGACAAGCUCUGGGGAGUGGCUGGGGAAGGUGAUUUAUUAAUGAACGUCACACAGAAGUCAGGACUCCACAGUGGCUCCUUCUAAAGGUCACCUCUAAAGGCAACUCUUAGAGGUAAGGACCAUUUCACGUAAAGUUGUAAGGAUCUGCUUUUGAGAACAUAGGCUAGGGUGCCGACAGAGAUCAGACCUUACUGGAGGACCUCUUCCUAAAUGAUCCCUUCAUCCCAGACACUGCCCUCCAUGCCUCAGUCUCUGCAGAAGAGGAGAAAGAGAAUCCUCCUCAACAAGAGGAGGGUGGCUGGCUUUUACACAGGGAGUGGCUAGACUGGUCUCUUCGCAGAGAAUAGAACCAGAAAACAGACAUCAGACAGACUGAGGUCGGGCAGCAGGGUGGCAUUUCUGUCUUGGACACACAGCAUGAGUGUGAGGGAAGCAGCAGGGUGCCCCACUGGAGGUCCCUACCCAGGAUGGCCUAUCCAUCUCCGUGUCUUGGUUCAGCGGGAGAGGUCUGGAAAUCCUUUGGAGGUGGUGGCCAGAUUGCAUCCAUAGUCCCAGCCAGACCCUCAGCAAUGCCAAGAGCCUCUUAGCUGCAGGUCACUGUGCUCCACUGUCUGUAGGCCACUGCCCCACCUUCAGGGCUAUAGUUUCUUUCUUCUGGAAACCACACAGGACAUGAGAAUCCCAGACUGGGCUGCCCUUCCUGGAAGAGGAUGUGUGUGUGAGCCCAGCAGCCGCUGUGAUGGGGCCCGAGGUGGUGAUACUGGCAAAAAAAAGGGGGAGCUAAGCAGCAUGGUGGUAGCAGUGGUGACAAGGCCUCCAGUACAUGUAGCCAUGAUGAGUGACACUCAGUAGGGUAGGCUGUGGUGCCUUUAUCCAGAGUCUAAAUGCUUGCUUUCAGUUCCACCUCCAUAUAUUACAUGCUGUGUGGCCUGGGGACAGUAGCUUUCCCUUUCUGACCUCGGUUUCUUCAUCAGUAAAAUGAAGAUGCUAAUACCACCUGUCCUGUCUUCCUCAAUGUCUCCAACCAGCAGGUGCCUUUAACAUGCCACGAGGCAAGAGUGAACUCAGGUGGAGGUACUUUGCUAAAAGCAGCCCAGGUAGGAGGAGAUGACUGAGUAGAACUGGCCGUGUUAUCCUCAGAAUGAUUUCUUGCUUCCCCAGGAGACUCCUGUUGCUGUGACGAUUUUUCCUGGUUCUCAGUCCCUGGACUCUGGGAUAGCUGAGAUCUUCUGGCUCUCGCCUCACAUAGCAUCUCACAGUGAUGUCCUGGCUUCCUGCCUAGGCCCCAAUCACCAGUUCUGGUGCUGACCCUGCAGGUCCUAGCUCCCUCCCAGCCGGCCUAGAGACAGGGCCCAGGCUCAUUGGAAGGAACAACAGGAGACUUGCCUGAAAGCCAAAUGUUCUACCCAACAGGACCUGAUUAUGGUGGCCAAGGGGCUGUACCUGGGCAGUCUCACCCAAGGGACACUUCUCAGGGGUCAGGAGAAUUUCAGCUCUGUGUUUACACAUGAUUCUAGGCUGAGGGAGAGAGAAAAAGCAGGGUAGGGGGUGGCAGAUUAGGCGAGGGAAUGUGUCCCCUAGAUGGUCCCUUAGCUCAUAGUGGAAGUGGGCUCUAGAGCGCCUUGCCCAUGCCCUCUUCAUGCUCUAGAGAGGUGGGCAAAGGACAAAGUAUGCGACUACCCAGGAGAACCAGCCUCCAGAUUGAGAUUGGAGAUGAAGGCCACUCAGUCCCCUCCAUUGCAAAAAGAAUAAAAGAAAGGAGUAGGAUUGGCCAUUGCUUGCAAAUAAACAGGAGGGGGCAGUGUUGGGGUAAUGACCUCCAUCCGGGGAGGGUCAGGAAGGGAGCUGUCCUUUACUGGGCACCCAGGAGAUGCACCUGUACAAUUUCAUUCAUUCUCACGACCACCUCGUUAGGUAGGCACUAUCUCUGUGGCUCCAUUUGGCCAAUGAAAAGGAUGAAGAUCUGAGAAGUCAAGUUACACUGCUAGGAAGAGGUUGACUUGGAGUGGAAACCCAGGACUGCCUGUCUGACUGCUGAAUGGGUGCUUUGCGUUCCUUACCUGCCCUCCCAGGGCUCCAGACCGUCCCUCCUGCACAUCUGCCUCUCCCAGGCCGUGCCUGCAUGUCCCCAGCCCCCUCCAACAGCUCCAUCUCCCGAGAGCUCCUUGAAUCUCCUCACUCACUCCUCACUCUUGCUUCCUCUUUGGAAUCCAGCCACAGGCUUUUUUCUUCCAUCUGAGGGAGAGAAAAUGGUCUCGUUCCCCACCCCCAGGUCUUUCCAUCCUCUCAUCCAUCCAAACCUAAGCAUCUCUCACUCCUCCCCUCCCCCUCUCUUAUUUUUUUUUUCUUUCUGUUUAUCCAUCACUAGAAUCUACCCCCCUUCCCUCUUGCCUGUAGGUUCUGUGGCUAUAAACAAAUCAUAACUUUUAUUAAAUUUAAGAUUACUUUUUAAUGGAAUCAAUUUCUUGUGUGGUGCUUCUCUGCCUGCCCGCGGGCUCUGCCGGCUCUGCGCUCAGCAUCCCCACCCGCACAGUUGUCUCUGCCGCUGGCGUUUCUGGCUAAGCUGCCUCUGAAGGAGGGGCAGGUCUGCCAUCCCUAAACACACACAGAGAAACACACACACACAUGCACACACUCCCACACACACACGAAGAUGCACCUUCCUGCAAGGCCCAGACACAGAGCCGCCAAGCCCCAGGUGCCCACACUGAGCGGCAGGGAGUGGGAGAGGGGCAGGGGCAGGAGGAGAGAGCUGCAGAGAGAAAGACUGAGGGUGCAAAACAAAUGCGGAGCCGAGCAGACAUUUCUCAGCCUGUUAAUUUCCUACAGUUCUGUUUUCCAGCCUCAGAAACAAGCUGGUUUCUGCCAGUCCACCCCCUUCCCUCUGACUGCAUUGUGCAGCUGCUGAGCAGAGAGAAGUUGCAGGGAGGAGGGGGUUCCAGAGGAGAAGCGAAGAGACUCAGGUUUUCAUACGAUUUAUCAAAGUACAGGCAAGAUGCAGAGAUGCUUCUGAAGCUGUGACCCCAAAAAGAAGCUCAACUGGGAGAUUUGCAGCCUGGACCAGUCUAACCCUACAGGUCUGGGCUUCAGGAAGAAGGGAACCUGGGGGUGCUGCAGGGAAUACUUUGGAGGUAGGAGAGAAAAGAAAGAGGGGUUGGAGGGUCACUUUGAUGGAGGGAGCAGGGGCUGGGAGAGGUAUUGGGGGAGUUCUCAAAACGAGCUCAUGGGGGGCCUAGAGAUGAGGAUUUGCAGACUCAGCAAAGACUUGGCUGCCUCCUUGAGGCAUCGGCAUGGCUCUGGUCUCUGUUCCAGCUUUUCUGGGAGUAUCCCUGGACACUCUUAGGUAGACAGGAGAUCAUGGGUGGGAAGGUGGAUCUGAGGCCUGAGGGUGGCCCCCCUUGGCCCACUACACUGUCCUCAGCACACAUUGUUAGUAAACUGAGUGUCAGGCGGGAGACCUCAUGUUCAUCCAGGUACAUGUUGCAAAGCUCAGUGAAUAAGAGCACAGCCUUUGGAAUCAGAGAGGUCCACAAAUCUAGACUCUGAAGCUUUCUAACUGUGUGACCUUGAAUAAGUGACCUAACUUCUCUGAGCCUGUUUCUUACUCUGAAAUAAGGAUUCAGUAAAGUGAUGCAUGUGGAACAUCUAGCGUAAAGCCUGACAGAGUAAGAGUUCAAGUGGAUUGCUAAUAUUUGUAUUAUAUCUUCUAAGCACCAACCAAAUGCACACACAUAGCCCAUGAUCCCCCGUGCCUAGGUUGAUUGGGACCAGGCAGGCCUCCGCUCUUGGAUUAAAUUCAGGCUGGGACCAGAGACCAUGUGAGUGACAGUUCCCAGGAUUGGAAUUCAGGACACAGCAGGGCUCUUCUCCCUCCUUCAGGUGGAAGAGUGGCUGAAGGGCUUGUCAGGAGAAGAGGUGAGGGACUGAUGAAGCCCCCUGGGUACUGAAGGCCAAACUCCAUUCCUUACCCCUGAUUUUCAGGGAGCAAUGAACCUGAAGCCGGGUUUCUUCUAGGGCAGAAUAAAAGGAAAACAUCCUGUGGCCAGUUCCUGCCCUGCAGCCUCUGAUAGCCUCCUGUUGGCUUGGGGGACUUUAGAGGGCUCUGACAUCCUUAGACAAGGCCUAGAGAAGGGGGUCUAUAAAGAUUUAAUUUGGCACAGGGCAUGAGUGCCCUUUCUAUCCCUCCUGUCCUUUAACCCCAGGGGGUAGGAAAAAACUCAAGAAUGCAAACAAGGGGCAGAACUGGAAAAGGCUGGUUCUGGUAGUGAAACCCCUCAUGUGCCCAAACUUGGGAGCAGAUGCCAACAUGGCUGCAGUCACAGUACAACCAGGAUCGGCGGCUCAGCCCCAUCAGGCUGUACUUUGGAGCCCAGCCGCUUCCUUGGAGAGAGGGACAGCUGGAGCCUCCUCUCCCAGGCAAGAACUCACCUCUCAUCUUUCUAUUACCCCUAAAAGGAGGCUGUUUCAACGGGCUCAGCAACUCCCUCGGUUUGACCCCUGACACAAGCAUGCCUGCUGAAUCUACACCUGGACCUAAAGACUUGUAGAGUCCUUUCUGGGGCUGGAUGUUCCCACAGGACAAUUACCAGUCAUGCAUACAGAGCUUUGCUGCCCAAGGGGACUUUCUGAGGGCUGAAUAUUAUUUACUUCAACUCUCCUUUGACAAGGCACCUGAGGCCCAGAUGGGGAAAGUCACACAGGACUGUGAUGGGGCCUGAUCGAGAUCUCCUGAAUCUUCCCAGUGCUGCUUGCUGUGCUUUGUGGCCCUUCCUCUGGCUGUAACUGUAAUCCCACCUAUACCUUAGGUUGCACAUGCUCAUACAGCGCUUACCAUGAGCCACCCUCUGAGGCAGGUACUGUUAUGAUUCCCAUUUUACAGCUGGGGAGGCUGAGGCUCAGAGAGGUUAAAUACUUCCCUAAGCUAGUAUGUGGUCGAGCUAGAAUUUGAAACCAGAAUGUCCUGCCCCAGAAUCUAGACUCCUAACCACUGGGCUGUGCUACCUCUCUUCUCUGGAAGCUUCACCUGUACCUGGACACAUUUACCUUCACUUUCCUCUUCUCCUGUCCUUAGCUUUCACCACCACCUUCACAAUUUCUCAUUUCAGGCUAAGCCAGAUAAUCACCCCAGACACAAGGGCAGGCUCAGCACUGCUAUCAAAAUCCCUUUUCCUUUUAUCUUCUCCAUCACCAUCUUAGCCUUAUCGCGUUCACUAUCAUGAUCAACUUCACCAUUUAUAAAGUCUCUAAUUGCAAAUGACUGUGUACCUAUAGACCAAUGCAGAUCUAACCCCUGCCUUGGGAUGGGAGGAUGGGGCUUACAGUCAAACCAAACAGCAGUUUAAGCCACAUAUACUCCUCCCUUUGUAAGUAAAGGUACGAAACCAGAAUGUGGAAGGCAGUCUUCUUCUUAAGAGAUUUUUCUGCAAUAAGAUGGAGGUGGUGAAGGAGAAGUUUCGAACAGCCAAAGAGUGCCUGCUGAGGGAAAUUAAUCAAUGGCCAAGAAGAUUGCUUGUCAUCUUUCAAUAUCUAUAAGAAAUAACGAGCCUCCAGAGAGGGAGCUAGAGCUCCAAGGGAAAAGAAGACCAGUGGGUACUCUGUCCAACUCAUGCCUCUAAGGAGCUACAGGAGAAAGAUGGAGCCAUAGGCAGCUUCCACCCCUUUGGAUGGUGGCCAACACCCAUCUCCCCAGCCACAGUAUCUCUCACAGCCCCUGGGGAAGCCAGAAGCAAGCAACACUGCCCAGGAGUUUUAAAACUGAUUCUUCCCUUAAGCUCAAGUCCCACCCACCUCCCAACCCAGUGAGCUUGCUGGUUGGCUGUCCAUGAGUGUUGGCUGCCAGAUGUGCCAUCAUCCGGCACAGGAUGUACAGGAAAGAGGGCAAUGGCUUCCCGGACCAGAGUCUCCACCCAGAAUUCCAGCCAAGGCCCCAGAGCUCCCAGGACCUGGAGAAUUUGUUCCCCCUGGUUGUGUUUGGAAUUGGCUGGUUUUCUGGGCACCAGGCCCAGCUCAGUUUAAUUUUUGUUUAUUUUUAUGUACAGAUUCUCUUCUGUUUGGGGAUGAGCUUUGUGUAAAUUAUUAUUAUUUAUAUGAUAAAGAAUAAAUCACACCAAAUAAAAAAACCCACAAUCUCUUUUUCUCAAUAGAAUUACUAAAUUAGGGGCUGAAAGGAACAGCCGAUAUGCUGGGGUUUGGUUUCAGGAAGGCUUUGGACAUGGAUUCUCGCAAAACGUCUUAGUAAAUGGGCUCUGUUAUCCUGGAUUUGAUGCUACCCACAGUCCGCAGAGGCAUAAGGGGCCUCCCAGAAAGAUGGCAGUGGUUCAGGCCUAAGGGUGGCUUCCUGGCCCUCCAGACAUCCCACCCCUGGAGAGAUGAGUCGGGCAUUUUGAAGUGAUUCGCUAACUCAGAAUGGGGAAAAAAAGGGAAAACAGGAGUUGGGGAUUCUUGCCAGAACAUGAUCAAAUGCCCUGAACUGGGGUGGGGGUAGGGUUCAUAGGAGUUACUUGAAUAGUGGCAUUAUUACAUCAGGGAAAAUGAGCCAAUCAUUUCUUUGCCUAUUCAUUAAAUUUGCAUGCUAAGACUCUAUUGGUUGGAAUGAAAUGAGUCAGGAGGCAGGGAUGCAGAUGGGCAGAGGACCAGCUGGGCCUGGAAAGUGUCCCCAAGUGGCCCCCAUCCCAGCCAGGAAGGGGUUGAUGGAUCCAGGCUGAAGAAAUGAGGUGGGGUUCACACCCCAUAACUUCUCCCUCCACUCUAGCCCUUCCCACCCCCAGCCUGAGCAAGAGUGGACCACUGAGAGAGGCCAAGCCUCUGAACCAGAGCCAGAGCCUCUCCAUCCCAGGCUGACCAGCUGGCUGCUACCCUUCCAGCCUGCUCGUGGCCGGUCAGUCCAGGCCAGUGGCUAGGAGCCCAGGCCUGGAAGGGCAGAGGCGGCUGCAGCAACCUGAGCACUCGAUAAACCAUUAAUUCUUAAUAAACGACAGGCUGUGCAUUAUUUAACAAUAAUGAUACUUUCUGUUCCAUUAUAGAUUAAAACACCGGCCUCUUCUUAUUAAUCCUGCGUUUCAAAAGCUUGUAAAUCCUGCACAGCCGGAAGAGAUAAAAGCCGGCUCAUCCCCAUCCCAGGGCUGACAUUCUUGCACUGACAGUGGCUCAGCGGCUCGACUUCUGUAUGCACACGCGUGUGCUCUGGGCCCACCCACCACCCAGCUGCACCAACAGCUGCAGGGGUCCUCAGAGGGAUGCGGUGGGGAGAAGGAAGAUAAUUCCAUAGAGAAGGAAAAGAAGGAGGAUCACAGAGAAGAAAGGCAGAAGCAGAAAACCCGAGACCAAACAGGCUGAGUAGUUUCAGAGCCCUCUUGGCAGACUCUGACAGCCACAUGGAGAGCACCUAUUGCAAUCCUCAGUGGAUGCUCAAAGCCCUUCUGUAUUGCCCUCAGGCUCUAUUUACAUACUCCCAGGGACAGGGAGCUCACUGGCUAUGGAGGCAGCCUUUUAUAUUACUGCAAAGAGAGCUUCUUCAGUAGGAGUUCAUAUUCACUUUCAGCCUUCCUUUGGCAAAUGCCAGACCUUUGGAAAUCUGAAGGCUGCCAUUCCAGCUUCCUGAUGACACCUUCGGUCUCAAGCUAACCUUCCCCAUCCUUCCUCCAGGCCUCAUGCGUCAGUGGGCUGAGCCCUUCCUUCAUCCUAGUUCCCCUGCUCAGUGCCACCGGGGUGUGUCAGAGAACCAGUAAAGGUGGCUCCAAUGCUGACCACAGUCCUUCCUGUGGUGCAGCCGGAACAGAGGCCAGCUAGGCCCUCCUCUCAUCUGGGGAUCAGAAACCAUUACUGAAGGUUUGAGAAGAAAAAUCACAGUGACCUUGAAUGUCUCUCCCAAGGUCAUUGCAAAAAAUAAUAUCUGUUGUCAUUUAUUGAACUUUUACUAUACAGUAGGUACCCUGUUUACAUCCCUUAUCUUGUUCAAUCCCAUAAGAGUUGUUCCAUUAUUAUUCCAUCUUGCAGAUGAAGUAACACUUGGAGUGAUUAAGCUAACUUGGCCAUGGUCACACAGCUAAGUAAGUGGUGAAGUCAGAAUUUGAACCUGGUACUGACUCUGAAGCCCUUGCUUUUAAUCUGUGGAUGUUCUCCCCAGCUAUUUGGAAACAAAAGUGGUUUUUUUAGUCAAGUGGGCCCCCAAAGUCAGAGAGACUGCUGUCCGUGAAGCUAAAAUAUUUUCUCCAGGAUUGGACUAAUGGUUUCCCACCAUGGGCUUUCCAGGUGGGGGUAGAGCUGGGGUAGAGAUCUCUGGCAUUUUGGUUUAUACUUGCUGGAUAUUUCUUUAGGUCGAGGAGGAAGACAGUGUUCAUAACACUUACUGAAUAUUCCAUCUGCCAGGUUCUAUUCAUCUGUUUUAAUCUUCACCAUGACUCUGUGCAGUGGAUGCUAGCCCCAUUUUAAAGAGUAGCAAACUGAGGCUCCAAGAGGUUAAGUCACUGGCAUUUAUGCUUAUAGCUUGUGAGUUUUGGAGCUUGUCCGUGAUGUUUCCUAAGAGGAGAUGAAACGGAACACUUACUUUUAUGGAAUGAGGUGUUGCCGGAUUUUUUUUAGAAAGGGCAGGUGCGUGUGUGUGUG
rnacentral:lncRNA from 1 species